AUUGAACGCUGGCGGCAGGCUUAACACAUGCAAGUCGAGCGGGGGAAGGUAGCUUGCUACCGGACCUAGCGGCGGACGGGUGAGUAAUGCUUAGGAAUCUGCCUAUUAGUGGGGGACAACAUCUCGAAAGGGAUGCUAAUACCGCAUACGUCCUACGGGAGAAAGCAGGGGAUCUUCGGACCUUGCGCUAAUAGAUGAGCCUAAGUCGGAUUAGGUAGUUGGUGGGGUAAAGGCCUACCAAGGCGACGAUCUGUAGCGGGUCUGAGAGGAUGAUCCGCCACACUGGGACUGAGCCACGGCCCAGACUCCUACGGGAGGCAGCAGUGGGGAAUAUUGGACAAUGGGGGGAACCCUGAUCCAGCCAUGCCGCGUGUGUGAAGAAGGCCUUAUGGUUGUAAAGCACUUUAAGCGAGGAGGAGGCUACUUUAGUUAAUACCUAGAGAUAGUGGACGUUACUCGCAGAAUAAGCACCGGCUAACUCUGUGCCAGCCGCCGCAGUAA
rnacentral:rRNA from 1 species